rnacentral:lncRNA from 1 species
CUGCCACGAGAGGUUGCUAUCAUGCAUGUCCAUGGGCAUCAAAAGGGGGCUAGACCCAAGGUGAUUGGUAAUAAGGCAGCUAAUCUGGCAGCAAAACAGGCUGCCCCAAAAUCAGUGGGGAAACAGAUGGUUCUGCUUCCUACACCAGUGCUGCCAGAGAAAGCAGAGUACACAGAUGAAAAAAUGGUGGAAAUGACCAAAAAGCGGUGGACCCAAGGUAAACAUGGAUGGUGGAUGACCAAGGACGGAAAAGUGGUGCUCCCAGCCACUGUAGCAGACACACUGCUACAAGAACUGCAUGGGCCCACCCAACUUGGCGAGAAAAGAAUGAUGGCCACCCUGCGACCCCAUUUUGUCAACAAGAGAAUGACACAAAAGGCCAAAGACCAAGUGAGACGAUGCCCCACCUGUAUCAAGAUUUGACUCCAAGACCCUUGAACCCCACUGGAAGGGACCAUUUCCUGUCGUCCUGGUAAAAAAACUCCAAGAUAUCCAGCCCCAGGCCUGCGUACUCCAAGACCCUUGAACCCCACUGGAAGGGACCAUUUCCCAUCAUCCUGGUGACUCCCUCAGUAGUAAAGAUAGCUGGACACUCUUCCUGGAUCCACUGCAGCCAUUUAAAGGCAACACCCCUGGAGGAAGCGACAUCAACAUGGCGGAUCGAUUGGAACACAAAGGAACCCCUCAAGAUAAGAUUGAUCAAAGACUAGUUUGGACAAUAUGGGGGUUCUUGGGGCUACUGUUCUUACCAGCCCCAGUGGAAGGGGGAUCUGGACGCCAGCUGGUGUUGUCCAGCCACACUCCCCAGAACUGGACUUGGUCCUUAAAAAAUGCCUUAACGGGAGCUCACAUUGCCACCAUUACUACUGAUAGACAGCCCCAUUUUAUCAUAGACCUGUGUUCUCUGGGGCUACCAAUCAUUAGUGGUGGAGGGGCUGGAUCAAAGGGUAAAGUUUCAUCCAGAAAGAUGGGUAAAGGGGGCCAUGGAGGGAGGUGUGGAAUAGAUGAUAAGUUGGAAAAAACCUCCAAGAUAUAGAUAUUUAUGCCUGCUCCAUAAAAAAAAAUAAAAGGUGCAAUGGGGGACCAGGAAACCACUGUCUUCAUUGGGGUUGCGAAUCUAUUGCCUCGUGGAAAAAUGAUGAUGCGUAUUUGGCCUUGGAAUGACAAACACCAAGUGGUUCAUGUUCCAAAGGAAAAC